UACGUAGGUCCCGAGCGUUGUCCGGAUUUAUUGGGCGUAAAGCGAGCGCAGGUGGUUUAUUAAGUCUGGUGUAAAAGGCAGUGGCUCAACCAUUGUAUGCAUUGGAAACUGGUAGACUUGAGUGCAGGAGAGGAGAGUGGAAUUCCAUGUGUAGCGGUGAAAUGCGUAGAUAUAUGGAGGAACACCGGUGGCGAAAGCGGCUCUCUGGCCUGUAACUGACGCUGAGGCUCGAAAGCGUGGGGAGCAAACAGG
rnacentral:rRNA from 1 species